GCUGGCGGCGUGCCUAAUACAUGCAAGUCGAACGAGAGCGACCGGUGCUUGCACUGGUCAAUCUAGUGGCGAACGGGUGAGUAACACGUGGGUAACCUGCCCAUCAGAGGGGGAUAACAUCCGGAAACGGAUGCUAAAACCGCAUAGGUCUUYKAACCGCAUGGUUURAAGAGGAAAAGAGGCGCAAGCUUCUGCUGAUGGAUGGACCCGCGGUGCAUUAGCUAGUUGGUGAGGUAACGGCUCACCAAGGCCGUGAUGCAUAGCCGACCUGAGAGGGUGAUCGGCCACAUUGGGACUGAGACACGGCCCAAACUCCUACGGGAGGCAGCAGUAGGGAAUCUUCCGCAAUGGACGCAAGUCUGACGGAGCAACGCCGCGUGAGUGAAGAAGGUUUUCGGAUCGUAAAACUCUGUUGUUAGAGAAGAACAAGUGCUAGAGUAACUGUUAGCGCCUUGACGGUAUCUAACCAGAAAGCCACGGCUAACUACGUGCCAGCAGCCGCGGUAAA
rnacentral:rRNA from 1 species